UACGUAGGACCCGAGCGUUGUCCGGAUUUACUGGGUGUAAAGGGCGUGUAGGUGGGCGCCUAAGUCGAUGGUGAAAUCCUGCGGCUCAACCGUAGAAUUGCCGUCGAUACUGGGCGUCUUGAGUACGGCAGAGGGAGAUGGAAUUCAUGGUGUAGCGGUGAAAUGUGUAGAUAUCAUGAAGAACACCGGUAGCGAAGGCGGUCUCCUGGUCCGUUACUGACACUGAGGCGCGAAAGCGUGGGGAGCAAACAGG
rnacentral:rRNA from 1 species